rnacentral:lncRNA from 1 species
CAGCGCCACAGACAUCGGGCCACUUCGUGCGUUUGUGCUAGCGGUUAUCCGGUAUGCACCUACAACGAACCACAGGAUAACAAGCAGGAGAGGAUUUGUAUUUAUGAGUUUUCGGUAAGGGGGUCGAGGGAAAACUGUUUGAGGAAAGACUAAAAAGUGUAAAAGGGACCAAAAUUUUGGAUUGAAAAAUAGAAAGAAAAGAAAAAGCAGAUUUUAGAGGUGAUUUUUUUCAUUUUUUAUUUGUUUUCUCUGUUAUUGUUUUCGUUUUUUUUUUGGGUGUGCAAAACAGAAAUAAAGAGGAAGAGAAG